AUUGAACGCUGGCGGCAGGCCUAACACAUGCAAGUCGAGCGGAUGAAGGGAGCUUGCUCCUGGAUUCAGCGGCGGACGGGUGAGUAAUGCCUAGGAAUCUGCCUGGUAGUGGGGGAUAACGUCCGGAAACGGGCGCUAAUACCGCAUACGUCCUGAGGGAGAAAGUGGGGGAUCUUCGGACCUCACGCUAUCAGAUGAGCCUAGGUCGGAUUAGCUAGUUGGUGGGGUAAAGGCCUACCAAGGCGACGAUCCGUAACUGGUCUGAGAGGAUGAUCAGUCAAACUGGGACUAAGACACGGUCAAGACUCAUACGGGAGGCAGCAGUGGGGAAUAUUGGAAAAUGGGCGAAAGCCUGAUAAAGCCAUGCAGCGUGGGUGAAGAAGGUCUUCGGAUUUUAAAGCACUUUAAGUUGGGAGGAAGGGAAGUAAGUUAAGACCUUGCUGUUUUGACGUUACCAACAGAAUAAGCACCGGCUAACUUCGUG
rnacentral:rRNA from 1 species